rnacentral:rRNA from 1 species
UACGGAAAUAGAUAAGGGCGUACGGUGGAUGCCUAGGCUCUCGGAGGCGAUGAAGGACGUGGCAAGCUGCGACAAGCCGCGGGGAGGUGCAAGCAACCUUUGAUCCGCGGAUAUCCGAAUGGGACAACCCGGUGUCCUGAAGGGGCACCAUCCCGCACAGCGGGAGGCUAACGCAGGGAACUGAAACAUCUUAGUACCUGCAGGAAAAGAAAAUAACAAUGAUUCCCCCAGUAGUGGCGAGCGAACGGGGAAGAGCCCAAACCCGCCCUGUUACGGCAGGACGGGGGUUGUAGGACUGCGGCAUCGCAUGAACGAUGGCGAGCGGAACGCUCUGGAAAGAGCGACCAUAGACGGUGAUAGUCCGGUACGCGAAGCCAUAGGAAGCGUAGCAGUAUCCUGAGUAACGCGGGACACGUGAAAUCCUGCGCGAAUCAGCCGGGACCAUCCGGCAAGGCUAAAUACUCCCGAGAGACCGAUAGUGAACCAGUACCGUGAGGGAAAGGUGAAAAGCACUCCGAACAGGAGGUUGAAAUAGUCCCUGAAACCGUACGCCUACAAGCGGUCGGAGCAGCAUCAAGCUGUGACGGCGUGCCUUUUGCAUAAUGAACCUACGAGUUGCCGUCGCCGGCAAGGUUAAGGGAAAUGAUUCCCGCAGCCGAAGCGAAAGCGAGUCUGAACAGGGCGUCCAGUCCGCGGCGGCAGACGCGAAACCGUGUGAUCUACCCUUGUCCAGGAUGAAGUCCGGGUAACGCCGGAUGGAGGUCCGAACCGAUAAGCGUUGAAAAGCUUCCGGAUGAGGUGAGGGUAGGGGUGAAAGGCCAAUCAAACUCGGAGAUAGCUCGUACUCCCCGAAAUGCAUUUAGGUGCAGCCUUGUACGUUCCAGACCAGAGGUAGAGCGACUGAUAAGACGCGAGGGCUUCACCGCCUAUCAAGUCUUGACAAACUCCGAAUGCUGGUAUUGCCAAAGUACAGGAGUGAGGGCGUGGGUGCUAAGGUCCGCGCCCGAGAGGAGAACAAUCCAGACCGUCGUCUAAGGCCCCGAAAUAACCACUAAGUUAGUCUAACGAAGUCCGGUUGCAGAGACAGCUAGGAUGUUGGCUUGGAAGCAGCCAUUCAUUUAAAGAGUGCGUAACAGCUCACUAGUCGAGGAACCGGGCGUGGAUAAUAAUCGGGUAUUAAGUGGUUUGCCGAAGACUCGGGAUCAAUACGAUCGGUAGGGGAGCAUUCCAUCGGCGUUGAAUGUCUUCCGUGAGGAGGGCUGGAGCUUAUGGAAAAGCAAAUGUAGGUAUAAGUAACGAUAAAGGGGGCGGGAAACCCCCUCGCCGAAAGACCAAGGUUUCCUGAUCAACGCUAAUCGGAUCAGGGUAAGUCGGGCCCUAAGGCACAGCCUAACGGCGUAGCCGAUGGCAGAAACGGUAAAGAUUCCGUUACUGCCGCAUGUGGUGACGCGGGGACGCAGGAGUGACACCGCCGCCACCUGACGGAAUAGGUGGUUGAAGGGUGUAGGAGUUGAUUCCGGCAGGCAAAUCCGCCGGGAGAUCCGAACCUGAUAGUAUGGCGCGUCCUUCGGGACAAGCCAAUAGCGCGGGUAAGCGUGCUGCCGAGAAAAUCCGCUACGCAUAACACAUGCGGCACCCGUACCGAAACGGACACACGUGGUCGGGUAGAAUAUACUAAGGCGCUUGGGUGAGUCACGGUUAAGGAACUAGGCAAAUUGACCCUGUAACUUCGGGACAAAGGGUCCCUACCCCAGUGAUGGGGAGGGCGCAGCGAAUCGGUCCAGGCAACUGUUUACCAAAAACACAGGGCUGUGCGAAUUCGAAAGAAGAAGUAUACAGCCUGACACCUGCCCGGUGCCGGAAGGUUAAGAGGAGAGGUCAUCGCAAGAGAAGCCUUGAAUUGAAGCCCCGGUAAACGGCGGCCGUAACUAUAACGGUCCUAAGGUAGCGAAAUUCCUUGUCGGGUAAGUUCCGACCUGCACGAAUGGUGUAAUGAUCUGGACGCUGUCUCAACCGUGAGCCCAGUGAAAUUGUAGUAUCGGUGAAGAUGCCGAUUACCCGCGAUGGGACGAAAAGACCCCGUGAACCUUUACUAUAGCUUAGCAUUGGAUCUGGGCACGUGAUGUGUAGGAUAGGCCGGAGGCAUUGAAGCAGGUACGCCAGUAUUUGUGGAGCCGCCGUUGAAAUACGGCCCUUUAUUUGUUUGGAUUCUAACUCCUAGUCGGAGGACAUUGCUUGGUGGGUAGUUUGACUGGGGUGGUCGCCUCCAAAAGCGUAACGGAGGCUUCUAAAGGUGCCCUCAGGACGAUCGGUAACCGUCCGCAGAGUGUAAUGGCAUAAGGGCGCUUGACUGGGAGACAUACAAGUCGAGCAGGUAGGAAACUAGAGCAUAGUGAUCCGGUGUUUCCGUAUGGAAGGGACAUCGCUCAAAGGAUAAAAGGUACUCCGGGGAUAACAGGCUGAUCCCUCCCAAGAGCUCAUAUCGACGGAGUGGUUUGGCACCUCGAUGUCGGCUCGUCACAUCCCGGGGCUGGAGAAGGUCCCAAGGGUUGGGCUGUUCGCCCAUUAAAGUGGCACGCGAGCUGGGUUCAGAACGUCGUGAGACAGUUCGGUCUCUAUCUAUCGUGGGCGCAUGAAAUUUGCGCGGCUCGGGCACUAGUACGAGAGGACCGUGCUUGACCGACCUCCGGUUUACCGGUUGUGCCGCCAGGUGCACCGCCGGGUAUCCGCGUCGGGAUCGGAUAAGCGCUGAAAGCAUCUAAGCGCGAAGCCGGCCGCAAGAUAAGAUUUCAAUGAGGGUCGUCAGAGACUAUGACGUUGAUAGGACGCAGGUGUAUAGGUGGAGACACCACAGCCGAGCGUUACUAAUUGCCCGAAAUUUCCGU